rnacentral:lncRNA from 1 species
AACAGGGAGCGGAGUGAUGAUUGUGCAGUCAGUUCUGUACAGAUGUGCAGAUAAAGAAAUCUGCUCUCGGCUUCACGAUCUGGACGUCAUCAAGAAAAGCUGUGACUUGAAGGAAGUGUGUGAAAUAAAUACAAACAUGGUCCGUACCUGUGAUCCCAGCGUCUGCACGUACCUGGACAUCACCUUCAAAUGCUUCCCUGCAAGUCUGUUACAUCUCUGAUUAUCAGCUAAUAAUCAAUCACAUCUGUAC